GACUCCGUGGCUCGAGAGCGAACGUUAGCGGCAGGCUUAACACAUGCAAGUCGAGCGAGAAAGGGGCUUCGGCUCCGAGUAAAGCGGCGGACGGGUGCGUAACACGUGGAUAAUCUGCCUCGUGCGGGGGACAACAGUCCGAAAGGACUGCUAAUACCGCAUGUCAGGUCGGAAACUCCGGUUUCUGACGAAAAAGAGGGCGCCCGCAAGGGGCUCUCACCACGAGAUGAGUCCGCGUCCCAUCAGCUAGUUGGCGGUGUAAUAGACCACCAAGGCUUAGACGGGUAGCUGGUCUGAGAGGAUGACCAGCCACACUGGGACUGAGACACGGCCCAGACUCCUACGGGAGGCAGCAGUGGGGAAUAUUGGACAAUGGGCGAAAGCCUGAUCCAGCCAUGCCGCGUGAGUGAUGAAGGCCUUCGGGUCGUAAAGCUCUGUGGGGAGGGACGAAAAAGCGUGACCUAAUACGUCUCGCCUUGACGGUACCUCCUUAGCAAGCAC
rnacentral:rRNA from 1 species